CUUCCUAUCAUUUUGUGUGUUUGUUCAAUUGGUGAACAAAGGCAUGAAAGAUAGGUGAAAAAAUAUAUCCUCUUUUGCAACCCAGAGCUCACUGCUGAGUAUGAGUUUCAAUACAUACUGGAAGGAACAAG
ensembl:snoRNA